AUUAACGUACAUAAUCGUAAUACAUACAUUUUCAAACUUAUUACACAAUAAAGAAACUUCUCAACUUAAUUGUGUAAGCUCAACUUAAUUCAGUUAUAUGUGUAUUAAUAAGUGCCACUGUCAUAGUGCACGAUAACAUAAACAUUAAAUAUCACCAGCACCCUCGGGAGUCCAUAUAGGCUUUCGAGCCAUCAUCAUGAUCUCAUACAUAACAUUUUUCAUAUAAGAUGCCCAAAUAUUGGCAAUAUCAACAUAAACAUGUUCAUCAUCUAUAAACAUAACAUAACGUAAAGACCAACUCGUCAGCGGAACGUGAUCGACCCUCUAGGCAUCAAGUGGCUACUAGACACCUACCAAAGAAUAAAGACUGGACACUGGUAUCUGCAACACUAGCAGCUGUUAGACGUUGUCACUGAUCUAUAAUAAAAUAAAUUGAAAAAAUAAUGUGUGAGUCACAAAGACUUCAUGAGUGGAUACGGGAAGGGGACAAGCAAGGGGAUAAGAGUAUUUCAUAACCAUGCAUUUAUAAACUCAUGCCAUUCAUAACUUCUUAAUUAUAAAGUUCAUGAUACAUGUCAUUUAAACUCAUUUAAAUACCUCUCAUUUGAAAACAAACUUAUAUAACUUUAUAAAUCCUUUACUUUUAAAAUCUUCAUCAAAUUCACUCAAACAUCUUUUUCUGUACCAUAUCUAUCGAUAGAUUAUUGAAUGUAUUGAUACUUCAAGCAUCUAUCGAUUCAUUGGUAAAAUGUAUCGAUAUAUUUCACAUAAAAAGCCUCUUAUGGAAAUUUGUUUAGAAUGUAUCGAUACAUGCUCCAUAUGUAUCUAUAUUUUGAACAUAGAAACCAAUUUUCUAGACAAUUUCAACAUUUUUGCCAUUCCUUAAGUCCUCUUACAUCUUGGGAACUAUCUUUAAGGCUCAAUUCUUUUCACUAAGUACAUUCCCAUGCCAUCAUAAGGUAUAAACCAUAAACACUACUCAAAUGAACUCAACAUACAACAUACCAUAAACAUAACAAUCAUAAUCAUUUCAUUAACAUUAAAACUCACACAUUGUGAUGGUUUGAUGCGCAUCAACCUUAGGCUGACAGCGUAUAUCCCCAUUGCACCUUGGACAUUUUAUGAUGCAUCAUAGGAGUGAAUUCAUCACUUGCACCUUGUGAGAGUGGUAUCAAUCACACUCUUUGAGUUCUCAUACUGAUAGCAUGUGGUAUGUGGAAUGUCUUUCACUACAUGCUUACUCAUCUCAUAAGGUAUAUGGAAUUUACAUCAUAUACAUAAUCUCAUGGCAUUCAUCAAGCUUUCUCAAUCAUCUAAUGUAGUAUAUGGAAUAUACAUCAUAUACAUAAUCGCAUGGCAUUUAUCAUGCAUACUUAAUCACCUCAUAUGGUAUAGGGAAUUUACAUCAUAUCCACAAUCUUAUAGUAUACAUCAUGCAUACUAAAUCAUCCCAUAUGGUAUAAGAAAUUUACAUGAUACACAUAAUCUUAUGGCAUUCAUCAUACCAAACAUGCACAUUAUAGCAUUAAUAAAUACAUACAAUAUCUUGUACCCACACUAGUUUGAAGACCGAAGUAAUUAAGUGGACUUCAAACAUAUGGUGCUUGUCCCCCCUUGUUGAAAACUAAUACAUAAUAGAAUAUUUACAUACAUAGUAGAUUCAUAAAAAUUUUAAAAAAGAUUGAGCCAAUCACAUCACAAUCAUUAUAAAUUUAUUUUCUUAGAAAAUCAUUUUCAUUCCUAAAACUCAAAUGCUUUAAUAAACCAUUUUAGAGAUAUCAUUUCAACAUACAUAAAUAGUCCUUUUCAUUGAAAUCAUGCUAGCUUUACAUAUCAAAAUAUUUUUAAAGUGGUGUAUCCACUCACCUAAUUGGAGAGUUGAUUCCUAGCUCCAAUCACAACUCUAUUUCAAUGAAAUCCAUGGAAUUUUUGUCACAACCCAAAUCCCAGGCCAUGACCGGCGCAUGGACUCAAUGGACAUAGCCCACUAAGCCUAAGCAAGCCUAUCUAUGUGACCUGUUCAUUAUUCCAUCAAAGUUACUAAAGUCACAUUUCAUAUUUUCGAAUUAAAAUAAUGCUAACCAUUGCCAACUCGUAGUGGCAUUACCCAUUAAAAUAUACAUAUAUUGUCUACAACAUGUAUCUUAAUAAUUUACAUCAGGUUUGUCUAUACAUCUUAAAAAAAGAAGACUCGAUUUCCAACAGACAGACUCAGGCGAAAGUACAGUUACUAAAUGCGGAGACACCUACCAAGAGUCAAAUCUAUGAGGAUAACUCGACCUAGUUAUCGACUGCCUCCUGAUCUGAAAACAUGAAGUUGAAAACGGUGAGUACAAACUCACUAAGUGAACAUAAGAAAGGAAAAAGCAAUCAAUAGGAAGGAUUUGAAAAUCAUGAUGCACUUGUUUCAAAACAAUGGAAUUUAGUUUCAUUCUUAUUAAAAACCCUCGUUAAACCCUUAAAUUAUUAAUCAUUUGAUAGUAAUGAUUCCGUACAUAACAAAGAAUUUGAAGAAUGAGAGCUUCAGUGAUAAACAAGCAAGUCAAAUGACAAGACUAGUCCUCACUGCAGCGGAAAGGCAUUCUCGCCCCUAAAUGUGGGUUUCUCAACUGGUCGAGGGUUUCUCUCUAAAAUUCCUCAUUUCAAACUUAAUUGAAUAAACCCCUAAAUGUGGGGAGUCCAUGAUCAGUUAUGGUGUAAUUGAAAUAGGAAAAUAUGGCAAAACCAAUAAGAUAGCAUAAUGGACAGAAAGUUUCUUGCUGCAACGAGAUUCAAGUGGCCAAAACAAAAGGUUUCUCGCUGUAGCGAGAAGCUCUAGAAAUUUUCUUUCUGCAGCGAGAACCAAUUCAGGCAGACCCCUCAAACUCGAGAGUUUCUCGCUGCAGCGAGAAACAGAGCACCAAGAAAAAGUUUCCAUUCCCCUCAAGAAAAGACCAUCCUGCUGAAAUCACAAAAGCAACAUGAAACACAUAUAAAUUCCCAAAGUUCAACAUGUCAAAUUUUCACAUGCAUUACAAUCAUUUAUCAUAUUCAUGAGCUUUUAUUUCAUAAACAUAUAUAUACAUAUAUACAUAGAAAAACACCAAUACCACCAUCGUCUCACCCAGCUCAUGUGCAUCCCCCCACAUCGUGCAUAUAGCCAGGGUCAUCGUGUGCAUCCCCCCACAUCGUGAACACGAGCACUUUCAUCAUCCAACUCCCUCACCACCGUCAUCAUUGGCAUGUGCAUCCCCCCACAUCGUGCACAUGCAUGGUUAUCAUUAUCACACAAUAUCAACCAUCCAUGCACAACAUAUAUAUAUAUCAACACAAUGUAAUAGUGCAUGAAUCCAUAACAGCCACAAGUCACAACAUAAAGACAAUUUAUCAAGGGCUUGUUCCCAAGGCACCCUUUUUUAAGAAAAGUUGGAUAAAAUCAUUCAAAUGUUUUGUGCAAAUACAUUCACAUUCCCAAAAUAAUUUUAAAAUCCAAGUUCACUCACCGGUAUUUUGUUGAACCUUUAGUCUACUCUAACUUCCCUAAUGGUCCAAAUGGGAUGGUGGGGCUUCGUUGGAACCUAAUCAUGACAUUAGCAUCACAAUUAAAUCAAUUCCAAUACUUAUAAAUUCUAAAAGCUAUCUCUUAACUAGUUUCCAAUUGCCAUCUAAUUGGCUAUCUAUUUUCACUAUUCUAAUCACUCUAAAAUGAAUGAACAACCUUAACUACAAAAUAUUCACAAGUCUAAUUUUUAACCCUUCUCAACACUUAAAACUCAACUCUAAUUUAAUACUCACCUUGGUAGCUUUGAAAUUGAAAUUCUUUCUAAAAACUUUCAAGCUCUUAUUGAAGCUCCCUCUUUCUCUCUCUCUCUAAAACAUCUAACUAGUGAGAUAAAGUAUGGAAGUAAGACUUAUCAAGGGUUUUAGUGAGAAAGUGAAAGAGCACAAGGGUUCUAUGCAAAAAAUGCACAAAAACUUGAAAAUUGGAGCUAUUUUGAUAGAGGUUAUGGAGGUUUCAUAUCAAGCUUCCAUGGAGGAUGAAAGCAACGUGAAAGAAAAGAAGGAAGAAGAAGAAGAAGCUGGUGGAAAAUGGGAGAAGAAGCUGCUGGAAGAUGAUAUUUAUAACUCAAGCUUAUCCACUCCACUUAAAUUACCAAAAUACCCUCAACAAGUUAGCUUGUUCUCCUCCAAUCCUUUAUGCAAUCUUUUAAUACUUUUGACACUAAAACAAAGUCCAUAAUGGUCUCGAAAUGCUCGAGUUGGCGAAAACUUAAAAAUUUUGACCCAAGGUGAAAAAUGACCAUUUUGCCCCUACUAUGGAAAUCAUCAUCAUUUUUAUUUCCUUCAUCAUUUUACCCAUAUUUUCAUCAUUCAUUUAUGCCUUAGGCCUACUUGGGCCUUAAUAUUGUUUAAAACUUAUUUUUAGGGGCUUACUAAGGAAAUGACGAAACUACCUCUACUCGUGUUGUUGUGUCUAUGCUUAGUUACGAGCCUAUAGAGGUCAAGGUCUCACAGUUUUCAAGUAUUCCUAUCAUACAACAAUCAUCAUAAUCAUUUUCUAGAAUAAAAAUCUCAUAAUAAUGCUUUUAGGUACUUUCGAAACUACUUGCUUUUAGCUACACUAAUUUUCUAGCAAAGACCCAUGCUUCGAAACUCAUAAUCAUUUCAUUCUUACCUUAGGUGAGUGAUGCUUAAGAAAAUCAUAAAACAUUUGAACUUUAAUCAUCAACAGAAAAUCUAGGCAAUAAAACAACUAUUUAAGUUCUGAAAAUCCAAGACCAAGUGAUUUAAAAGCUAAAUGGCAUCUUUUUCCAUAAAAUGUCAAAACUAAGCUUUAAAAUCAUAAAAAUAGAGUUUUAGGUUAAAAAUGAGUUAAAAGAGCUUAAGAGUAGGGAUUUUACCUUGCAAAUGUGGCUAAGGGUUGCCAACCCUCGAAAAAUGUGAUAUAUUUAUAAUCUAGGGUGUGAAAAUAUGAUUUUACCCCUUUUAUUUUUUUGAAAUCGAUGAAAUGUAUCGAUGCAUUUGGUUAUGAGGAAAAUGUAUCGAUGCAUUAUGAAUAUGUAUCGAUACAUGUUCAUCAGAAACCCUUUUUGGGCUAAAUGUAUCGAUACAUAAUAAUCAUGUAUCGAUAAAUUUGAGACAGAAUGCAAUUUCUGAGGUAGAUUGGUUAAAAAAAGUUGCACAGCUUAUUUACAUUAAAUACCAUUUAAGAAAAUGUCCUCUUUACUUUUUUUUCUCUCCAUUUACGUAAGAUAUUUAAUAUAAAUAAGCAACCAACCCCCCAUUUGGAUCCAAUAAAAAUAUAAAAAAAAUCAAAAUCCAAAACAAUCAAAAUCUAAUUUUUGGUUUCAAGAAUAAAAUAAAAAAAUUUCGCCUGAAAUCAAAUUUGUAGUUCCCAUUUUUCAUAGCAAACAUAUUUAAAAAACUAUGAAAAAAUCAUUUUUGGUCAUCUAAAAAUCAAGAUAAUCAUUACCGCCAUGUUUUAUUUCCAAAAGAUUAUUUUAUAAAAAUCGCAUAGUUUGGCCCCUUCUAGACUUAGAAAAUUUUCUAUUUCAAAAUUACUGGCAACCAAAAAUGUCAAUGAAUUCUUUUAAAGGUUAAAACUAAGUUUGGUGUUCAAAAUAUGUAAUCUAUAUGAUCACCUAAGGAUUUCCUAACUUAUCCUCCUACUCAAUGUGGGAUUUCACAGCAUCAAUCAAUGCUUUGCUGGCAUAAUAAAUUGGAUGUAAAAUCUUCUUUUUCCUUUGGCCCAAAACGGUGCCAACUGCAUAAUCACUAGCAUCACACAUUAGUUCAAAAGGAAGAUUCUAAUCUGGAAUAGGUAUAAUAGGAGAAGAAAUUAAUCUCUUUUUUAAUUCCACAAAAACAUCAUGGCAAGCAUCAUUAAAAUUAAAAGGAAUAUAUUUUUCCAAUAAAUUGCAAAGUGGUUUAGAAAUUUUAAAAAAACCUUUAAUAAAUCUCCUAUAAAAUUCAACAUGUCUUAAAAAACUACAAAUACCUUUUAUAGUGGUGGGAGGUGGAAGUUUUUCAAUUGUUUCAAUUUUUUCUUUGUUUGUUUCCAAACCUUUGCUAAAAACUCGACGUCUAAGGACUAUGCCUUCUUACACCAUAAAGUGACAUUUUUCCUAAUUUAAUACUAAAUUAGUUUCUUGACAUCUUUUAAAUACUCUAGCAAGAUUAAAUAAACAAUCAUUAAAAUUAUCCUCAAAAACUAAAAAAUCAUCCAUAAAUACUUCUAAGCACUUUUCAACCAUAUAAGAGAAAAUUGCCAUCAUACAUCUCUGAAAAGUGGCUAGAGCAUUGCAAAGCCCAAAAUGCAUUCUUUGAAAAGAAAAAGUCCUAUAAUAGCAAGCAAAGGUGGUUUUUUUUGGUCUUCAAGACGAAUGGCAAUUUGAUCCAAAAAGCAAAAAAAAAUCCUCACCUACUAAUCUAGAAAGCAUUUAAUCAACAAAAGGGAGUGGAAAUUGAUCUUUUCUAGUGGCUUGGUUCAACUUUCUAUUGUCUAUACAUAUCCUCCAGCCAGUCAUAGUUCUAGUAGGAAUGAGCUCAUUAUUUUCAUUAGAAAUUAUAGUCAUACCUCUUUUCUUUGACACACAUUGGACUAGACUUACCUUUGAAUUAUCAGAAAUAGGAUUGAAUUAUCAGAAAUAGGAUAGAUAAGACUUGUAUCUAGCCACUUGAUAAUUUCUUUCUUUAUCACCUCUUUCAUUAUCGAAUUUAACUAACAUUGAUGCUUAAUGGUUGCCUUGUGGUUUUCUUCCAAAAGACUUUUGUGUACGCAAAUUGAUGGAUUAAUUCCUUUGAUAUCGGUAAUGGUCCACCUAAUUGCUUUCAUGUAUUCUUUCAAAACGUGAAGGAGUUUGUUUUCCAACACAUUAGUAAGAGAAGAAGAAACAAUUACUGGUAAUGUAGAUGAAUUUCCCAAAAAAGCAUACCUUAGAUGGUUAGGCAAUGGCUAAAGCUCAAGUGUAGGACAUUCUUUAAUGGAAGGCUUGGCUGGUGAAGUUGAAGUUGAUAAUUCCAAAGACAUAAAUUGAGAUUUUGGGAGAUGUGAUGGAGCAUCCAAAUAAUUAUUAUAUUCAAGAACUUUUUCGUCAAUAAUAUCACAAGAAAAAAAAAUAAAAAAUGCUUCAAAUAAGUCAUUAAACUGUUUCAUGUGGGUCAUUAGACUAAUUCUCAAUAAACACAUUAUUGGUAAUGCUCUCCACUACAUUAAUUGAAAAACACUCAUCAUGCUCAUUGGAAAAUUUUAAAGCUCUAAAAAUUUUAAAUGUUACCUUUUGGUUUUCAACCCUUAAGAUAUGCUCACAUUUUUCCACAUCAAUGAGAACUUUAGCAGUGCUUUAGAAUGGUCUCUCAAGAAUGAUCGAUAUUCCAUGAUCUUCUUCCAUGUCAAGUAUAAUAAAAUUUAUUGGAAAAAUAAACUUAUCAACUUUAAACAAAACAUCUUUCACAAUGCCAUAAGGGUAGCUAAGGGAUCUAUCAGCAAGUUGUAAAGUCAUAGAAGUGGGCUUAAUGUCACGACCCGGUACUCCAUUCGAGCUAGUGACAUCCAUCGCGAUGUCUCGAUAGACAUUCAUUACUUGGAAUGUCAACCGAAACCUCGCAAGGCUCUCACAUCAGUUUUACAUCUCCCUUGUGAGCAAUAGUUACUAAAUGUCAUGUUUUAAGGGAAUAUAAACUAUUUUUAAAUCAAAACAAAUAAAAAAAAUUUUCUGCCACACAGGGGUAUUUUGCUCAUUUUUACCCAAAAAUUUUGAAACACGGUAAAAAUAUGAUAUACAAGUAAUAAGCAUCCAUUUCAUGUCUAAAAAUAAGUUUCGUUGUCUAAUUCAUCAAUUUAAAGUGAAAUUAUAACUAUUCAAAUUAAAUAAAAAUAUUAAAUAAAAUAUUAUAUUUUCUUAUAAAAUAAUAUUUAUAAAACUCUGCGUAAAUAAUUUUUGUAGCGUAAAAGCAAAAUAAAUUCAUACAUAUAGUGGCACAUGCAGCCAGGUAUACAAAAUAUUCUACAAUGACAUGUGGGCUCCUAAAAUAAACAUAUAUGUACAAGACUAUAGACCUACGAUUUCUAAGAGUGCAAACCCAAAAGUAAACCCUCGACAUAAUCAGCGGUCUACAGACUGCCCUGAGCCUAAAAUAGGUGAAAAGAAAGGGUGAGUUUUUUAUAAACCCAGUGAGUAAGCAAAGUUCAUCUACAACAUCUAACGCUGAGUAAAUGGAGACAGUUAAAUCAUCCCAUCAUAAUAUGAUUCAUAACAUUUAAAACUCAUUUCAAUUCAUAUAAAACAAUUACAUUUCAUUGAAAUAAUCAACAAGGCUUAUGAUUCUCUUAAAAACUUGGCUUAUGCCAAAACUCAUACUCGGUGACACCUUGGCCCGAGCAUCCAAUCGAGUCCGUCAAGGAUGUUAAAACGACAUAUACCCAUAAAACAUGUUUUUACUUUUAAAAUAUAGCCAUUCCUUGACGUUGGCUGAGUUUCAUCAUCACGUGGUGGUUCGGCGUGAAGUGAACUCUAAACUUACCUUAGGAGAUAUCCUCCGCGCCUCUUGUACUAAGGUAAAAUAUAACGGGGUUUACCGUACCCCUUUAAUAGGCUAGUCCACGAAAACCCGCUUAUUGCAGUAAGCUAAUCAAAUAACUUACCAAAUCAAUAAAAAUUUCGACAGCAUGACAUAGCUAAUAUAAUAUUACCCAGCCUGUCAAGGUAAAGCAAAAUAGUUUAUAUAAUCCAUAAACCACAAGCCAUUCAUGCCAUCACAUUGCCAUAAGCCAUCAAUUCAAACCAUAUAUAUAUAUAUAUAUAUAUAUAUAGAUAACACAAGUAUAUAAUCUCCACCCACUCAAUUUCCAAAAUCGUCAUUGAAUUGCAAAACAAUUUAUAAAUCUCAUUCAUUUAACUAAAACUUAACUUAUAAAACAUAAAAAUCUACGGUUUAAGUUCAUUAUUCUUUAAAAUCAUAAAACAAGUAUAAACUACUUUAGAUAGUUAAGGUGAAUAUUUGAUUACUCACAAUAACGGGAGUUUGGAGUACUCUUAUUCUUGGUCCUCGGGUACGAUAUCUUUACCCUUAUCAGAGGGCUCACCACCUAUACAUAAUACACGACACGUAAUUCAAAAUAUUUGUGCCAAACUAUUACUAUUUCAGGCACUAUAUGAAUGCAUGAAAUUGAAUGAGAAUUGUUCAAAUAAUCACUUAAAGAUGGUGUUCUACGUGGGUUCAAUUAUGAUCGGACUGAAUUUGUAUUUGACCUAACUCGAACUAUACACUGUUAAAUUAACCAAAACAUCUGAUUCAACUUCAAAUAUAUUCAUUACACUUCCAAUAUUCCAAAUACAUCAAGUACCUCAAUGAGCUUGAUUGUGACUUAAUUCAUCAUAGCCGAAAUUCAUUUCGAUUCCGAACUAACGUGCUAAUCAGUGUUAACACAGUCCAAUAAAUCCAUCUAUAUCAUUAAGAAUCAAAUCCAAGUCCAUUCACUAUGAUUUUCUCAUUAUUGUUCAAGUCGUUUACUAAAGGAACUAUACUUUUCGAUAACCGUUUUCGAUAUCCGAUACCAUAAAUCAUCAAUUACGAGCUAAAUAACAUGAAAUACAACAAAAUCCAUCAUCAACAUCUCACCUAUAACAUUCGGCCAAAGAGGNAAUUGAAAAAGAAUGCAUAGGAAAGGUAGAUCACAAGCUAGAAUUAAGAAAUUUUACCUUUACUUGCUUAAUUCCUUGAAAUCCAAUGAAUUUUCUCUUGAUUUUCUUCUCGAGGGUUUGUUCUAUGCUUUUUCCCUUUUGUUCUUGCCUUGGCCGGC
rnacentral:lncRNA from 1 species